AACGAACGCUGGCGGCAGGCCUAAUACAUGCAAGUCAACGGAUGUAGCAAUACAUUAGUGGCGCACGGGUGCCUAACGCGUGGGAACAUACCCUUGAGUAAGGAAUAAUGUCUGGAAACGGACACUAAUACCUUAUAAUGACUUCGGUCCAAAGAUUCAUCGCUCAAGGAUUGGCCCGCGUCUGAUUAGCUAGUUGGUGAGGUGACGGCUCACCAAGGCGACGAUCAGUAGCUGGUCUGAGAGGAUGAUCAGCCACACUGGGACUGAGACACGGCCCAGACUCCUACGGGAGGCAGCAGUAAGGAAUAUUGGACAAUGGGGGAAACCCUGAUCCAGCCAUGCCGCGUGAGUGAAGAAGGCCUUAGGGUUGUAAAGCUCUUUCAAUAGUGAAGAUAAUGACGGUAGCUAUAGAAGAAGCCCCGGCUAAAUUCGUGCCAGCCGCCGCCGUAA
rnacentral:rRNA from 1 species